rnacentral:rRNA from 1 species
GAUGAACGCUAGCGGGAGGCCUAACACAUGCAAGCCGAGCGGUAGAGAUUCUUCGGAAUCUUGAGAGCGGCGUACGGGUGCGGAACACGUGUGCAACCUGCCUUUAUCAGGGGGACAGCCUUUCGAAAGGAAGAUUAAUACCCCAUAAUAUAUUAAGUGGCAUCACUUGAUAUUGAAAACUCCGGUGGAUAAAGAUGGGCACGCGCAAGAUUAGAUAGUUGGUAGGGUAACGGCCUACCAAGUCAGUGAUCUUUAGGGGGCCUGAGAGGGUGAUCCCCCACACUGGUACUGAGACGCGGACCAGACUCCUACGGGAGGCAGCAGUGAGGAAUAUUGGACAAUGGGUGAGAGCCUGAUCCAGCCAUCCCGCGUGAAGGAUGACGGCCCUAUGGGUUGUAAACUUCUUUUGUAUAGGGAUAAACCUUUCCACGUGUGGAAAGCUGAAGGUACUAUACGAAUAAGCACCGGCUAACUCCGUGCCAGCCGCCGCAGUAAAAC